ACGGGGGGAGCAAGCGUUGUUCGGAUUUACUGGGCGUAAAGGGCGCGUAGGCGGCCUCCGCAAGUCAGUUGUGAAAUCUCCGAGCUUAACUCGGAAAGGUCAACUGAUACUGCGGGGCUAGAGUGCGGAAGGGGCAACUGGAAUUCUUGGUGUAGCGGUGAAAUGCGUAGAUAUCAGGAGGAACACCGGUGGCGAAGGCGGGUCUCUGGGCCGAUACUGACGCUGAGGAGCGAAAGCGUGGGGAGCGAACAGGA
rnacentral:rRNA from 1 species